rnacentral:snRNA from 1 species
GUUGGCUUUGGCAGCACUUUCUAAAAUUAGAAUAAUGCAGACAAGAUUAACACAGCUCCUGCAUAUAGAUUACAGAAAAUUUUAUGAAGCAUUUCAUAUUUUU